AUCAAUUCUUGGCCUUUUGGCUAAGAUCAAGUGUAGUAUCUGUUCUUAUCAGUUCAAUAAUUUUUUAAUAUUUACUUAUUCCCU
rnacentral:snRNA from 1 species